AUUUGAAAAGAUCUGAAGAUACGCCCCUUGGAUGCCUGCAGAGAAGCUCUGGGGCUUCAGUCAAUGACUCAGGGUAGCCACCGAACAUGAUGCUCGGGCAGUGGGUGCCACCUGGACUCCACUCUCCCCUCUCUCUGGGAUCAUAGAGUCCAAGGUGUUCUGUGGCCUCUCGGCCAAUCCCAGCAGCUCAGCGUGCAGAAGACCGAGGAGCCAUUGGGCUGGCUCUGAUGGGGAGACACUAGGCGAAGUGGAAGGAAUUCAACACAACACGAAAUAAUCAACAAAUUCGGGGAAUGUUAAUCUGACCAUCACCAGUUACAAAUGAUGUUUCAUGCUACCUUCUAUUCCUGCCUUCAUAAAUCAAGCUCUAAAUCUCCAGGAAAAAAUGUGCUCAGGAUGGCCAGAGAAAUGUCCUUCCAACUGUGCAUGGAAAGGUAUGAUUUUGUGCAGCAGGUGAAGGACUGGUUAGAGUAAGUGUGUGCUGAGCUUUUGUGUUUGAAAGCGAGCCUGUGCACUUCUAACGAUUGGAAGGUUUCCUUGCCUUCUCCGAUCUUACACACAGCAAGGACAGCAAAGCCUUCCAGACCUGCCUGUGACAUGCACUGCACAUUCUAAAGAUGCCUAUGCAAUGGAAAACACCACUGUCUGCUCCAGCACAGCUGCCAUUCUUCCAUCUUAUCGACCUUAAUGCAACAACUCCUCACAGGCAGAGAUUUUAAAAUGUGUUCUUGGCAGAAGAGAGACUCAAAGAUGGGACAAAUGUGUCAUUUAAAUGCCUGGAAAAGAAAAAGAGAACAUAUAUCCCCCUACCUUUUGAUUUCCAACAGUCUACUGAGAGGCCAAGAUUAUUUGCAGGGAAAGAAAAGGGGAAUGCCAUCCCCACCCUCUCGCAGCUACGUGCCAGUUCCAGAGCACCUGUUCCCCUCUACUUUGAAAAGGUCAAAAUGUUUUGCCAGUAACUCCCAAAUCAUCUACAGCCAAGGAGAAAAGUGUUUCAAGACAGAGGUGCUCAAUGGUAUCAAAUACUGCCAACAGACCAAGUAAUACAUGCAUUGAAGUGUCUACUGGAUCUAGCUAUACCAGUUUCCAAAAUGCUUUGUAGCAUCUUCUCAAAAAACAAAUGGGAAGAAGCCAAUCAGAAAUAAGGGAUGGGGGAUACAAGUUACCAAAGUAGUGGCGAGAAAAGGAAUUUUUAAUUUAGGACACUUAGGCCAUACUGAAGCAAGGUGACAAAAUGAAUAGCUACAAUGUCUCGUGAAUCUUGGGUUUCCAUUCACCCUGGUAUUCAAGAGAAAUUCUUGCAUCAUGGAAGUUGCAGUUGGAUAGGACUUUCUCAGCUGAACACUGUCAUCUGCCAGAGCUUCAGGCAAGAACCCAGAACAGAUGAAACCCCAGACAUGACAAAAUAAGCCAAAGAAUACCAGGCCAAGGUGUGAAAGGCCAGAUGAGAACAAGCAGCGUACACGAUUCUGUUGCCAACAGAUCUCCCCUAACAGUGUCGUGCACCAAAUUUCCACAGUGAAUGUCAGGAAAAAAUGGCAAUUGAGGUGGGUGGUCAAAAGAGAAGCACAGUCUAUGAUGAAGUCACCCCAGAGAAGUCCUUUUUCCGUUUUCUCCUGAGAAAUUACCAGAAGAAAUUAAAAUCCUUUUGAGUAUUGCGAUGAAGAAACUGAGGCAGACAGAGGUGAAGAAACUUGCACAAGGUCAAAGAACAGAGAGUCACAUUAGCAGCUGGAUAUUCAGCUGUGAAGCUCAAGGAAGAAGUCAGGGCUGGAGAUAUAUGAAUGAGAACCAUCUGCAUAAAGAUGAUCUUUAAAAUCAUGGAGCUGGAUGAAAUCUCUCUCCACUCCUCCCCACAGGGGAAUGGAGCAAUGCCCAGGGCGCCGUCUUUCAGAAAAUGGCAUUGCGUACUGAGGACAGUGAGAAAUAGGAGGUUAUGUUUCCUAUCAAAGCCCUCCAUGUAGAAAGGUGAGCUCUCAGAGAUGAUCUGAAUUAUCUUUGCUUCCACCGUUUCUGCCUAUUGCUACCUGAUCUGUCACAUCCAUGACUGAGAAAUAUUGUCAGCUGGAGAGGCUGAAGAAAUCUGAAAAAAGGCUGAAAGCUGGAACAACUGAUGGAAUUCUACGAGACUGUACAAACAAACAAACACUAGCAAAAGAAAUAAGCUGGACACAAGGGGAGGAUUCAUCAUCAAAUCAUUACAUGAUUUCAUGUUAAUGUGGGGAAGGGAAAUAUUUGUCAAUGGCUAUGUCUCAAACUGCCCCUGGAGAAGUCGAAAGAAUACCUGGACGAUACAUAUUUUAAUAUGA
rnacentral:lncRNA from 1 species